AGUUCGUUACCAGGCUUCCAGAUCGCAGUUUCUCAUGUGCUGAGGAUGUGACCACAAAACAUUUCCCCACCAAGUUUUCUUUCUGCUAUGUUGCUAGCAUUCAGCCUUUUGAGAACAUUA